rnacentral:rRNA from 1 species
AGUGAACGCUGGCGGUAGGCCUAACACAUGCAAGUCGAACGGCAGCACAGUAAGAGCUUGCUCUUACGGGUGGCGAGUGGCGGACGGGUGAGGAAUACAUCGGAAUCUACUUUUUCGUGGGGGAUAACGUAGGGAAACUUACGCUAAUACCGCAUACGACCUACGGGUGAAAGCAGGGGAUCUUCGGACCUUGCGCGAUUGAAUGAGCCGAUGUCGGAUUAGCUAGUUGGCGGGGUAAAGGCCCACCAAGGCGACGAUCCGUAGCUGGUCUGAGAGGAUGAUCAGCCACACUGGAACUGAGAAACGGUCCAGACUCCUACGGGAGGCAGCAGUGGGGAAUAUUGGACAAUGGGCGCAAGCCUGAUCCAGCCAUACCGCGUGGGUGAAGAAGGCCUUCGGGUUGUAAAGCCCUUUUGGUGGGAAAGAAAAGCAGCAGGUUAAUACCCCGCCGUUCUGACGGUACCCAAAGAAUAAGCACCGGCUAACUUCGUG